rnacentral:misc_RNA from 1 species
GAUGAAGAACGUAGCGAAAUGCGAUACUUGGUGUGAAUUGCAGAAUCCCGUGAACCAUCGAGUCUUUGAACGCAAGUUGCGCCUCAAGCCAUUAGGUUGAGGGCACGUCUGCCUGGGCGUCACAUAUCGUUGCCUGAUGCCAGUUUCCUCGUGAUGGGUGACUGUGCAGGGCGAAUGAUGGCUUCCCGUGAGCAUUGUUGCCUCAUGGUUGGUUGAAAAUUGAGUCCUUGGUAGGGAGCGCCGUGAUAGAUGGUGGUUGAGUGACGAACGAGACCCAAUCAUGUGAGACCCCUACCGAAUUUGGCCUUCAUGACCCACAUGCGUCUUUGGAACGCUCAUGACGAGACCUCAGGUCAGGCGGGGCUACCCGCUGAGCUUAAGCAUAUCAAUAAGCGGAGGA